rnacentral:lncRNA from 1 species
UGAGUGGAUGUGUUGGGUAAAAUGAGUGUGCUAAAAUGGUUAUUUAUAAGGAGAUGAUGAUGCACAAACUUCAAAUUUCGUCCAUUUUUUUUGCUCCAAGCAUAUGUUAUCCAUUUCAUGCCCAAAAAUGCUCCAAAAUGCACUUCUUUGCCACAUUAACCCUUUGGCCCUACAAACACAUGAAAAUAGCUUAAAAUACUAAAAUAACUACGAACUAACAACAUAAAUGCCAAGAAACAAGCUAAUUAAGUCGCAUAAAUAUGCUCCUAUCAUACGUCUCAACAGCCCUUAAAGAAAUGUUUCGUUCAAGAAAUAUGCCUCAACAGCCUUUGACGAAAUUCAUCACCUCAAUUCAAGAAAUACGCCUCUACGACCCUUAAAGAAGCAAACUAAUUCAAGAUCAAGUAUCGACGACC